rnacentral:rRNA from 1 species
CCUACGGGAGGCAGCAGUGGGGAAUAUUGCACAAUGGGGGAAACCCUGAUGCAGCGACGCCGCGUGAGCGAUGACGUAUUUCGGUAUGUAAAGCUCUAUCAGCAGGGAAGAAAAUGACGGUACCUGACUAAGAAGCUCCGGCUAACUACGUGCCAGCAGCCGCGGUACUACGGAGGGGGCCAGCGUUAUCCGGAUUUACUGGGUGUAAGGGGAGCGUAGACGGUCCUGCAAGCCAGUUGUGAAAGCCCGGGGCUCAACCCCGGAACUGCAUUUGAAACUGUAAGGCUAGAGUGCAGGAGAGGUAGGCGGAAUUCCUAGUGUAGCGGUGAAAUGCGUAGAUAUUAGGAGGAACACCGGUGGCGAAGGCGGCCUACUGGACGGUGACUGACGUUGAGGCUCGAAAGCGUGGGGAGCAAACAGGAUUAGAUACCCCAGUAGUC